AUAGCAGUGCCCCGAACCCCCCGACCGAAUCCAUCGCCCCCGAAUCCUAAACCCUAGAACACACACAGCACACGAACGUUGCAAAGGCUCUCUCUUCCCGUCCUCUCUCAAAACUGCCUACAGAAGAGGGCAGGGCGAGAUCCAGGAGUUCCUCUGUCCCCGUCGGCAAGACCGGUGGUCUCCUUCACCUCCGGUGGCCAUUAUGGCUGCCGGAGGGGUGGGAGAUCCCGGAUCUGAUGCCUGGCGGUGUAUAUAGUCCUAGAUUUUCUAGGUUUGGUGUCCUUUGCACCGGCGUCAUGGCGGAGGAGGCGUCGGUGUGCGGAAUAAAGUGGCCAUGUCUCCUUCUUCGCUCGCCCGGCGUCGUUCUUGGCACUAGCGAGGAGCUGGGGUCCUUUUGGUCUCGCGGAUCUGAGUGUUUACGAUCCUGCGAGUUGGUCGUCGUCGUCAUCGGUCACCGCUGGGCUCUUUGGUGUGGCGAGACGGCGAGGGGGGUCGAGGAUUCUGACCCAUGGCGUUCGCGGCUUUGGCCCUGUGGAGCGGUGGUUGGGGCUUGUCCGCUUCUUCGGCUCCAUGGGAAGAUGCUUCUGGCGCUUCUUUUGUUGUGGAUGCGGGAGGUGGCUACGACAAGGAUGAAGGACUGGAGGUUGUUCAUCGGCGAUUGGUCUUUGAACCUGCUUCAGCGAAGCUGGCCGAUGCGGAUCCGGUGCGGCAUGGGGCGUUGCUCCGGCCGCCUGGGCUUUUCAGCUCUGCUCAAGAUCUCGCCUCUCGCGGCGGGCUACGAUUGUGCGGCUCACAAAGCUUACAAGCGAUGGUGCUUCUCCGGAUCUAAAGGGGUUGCUCGCUUUUCUUCUCUCUCCGGCGGCGACGACGGCGAGAUGGGGGUAGCAGCGGCUGUGUGGUUGAGUUGGAUUUGGUGUUCUUCCGUAUCCUGCGUGGAUGUACUCGUAUCUACUCGGCUCCGCCACCUCUCGCCUCCGCUCCGCCGCUCGCUCGCCGUUGCCUGCGCUCCGCCGCUCGCUCGCCGUCGCCUGCGCUCCGCCGCUCCCUCGCCCUCGCCCUCGCCCUCGCCUGCGCUCCGCCGCUCACCUGCGGGUACGGUGCCCCCAAACUCCGUGGAAGAUGGCGCUAGCAAUCUUGAUGGAAGUCAUUGAUGCGCGCGCGCGGGAGCUGGGGAUCGACCUCGACUCCGUCGACGUCGACUCCAUCACCCUCCCGCCCGGCGAGGACUUCGACAUCCUCAGCGACGACGAGGAUUUACUUCAGAAUGAAGACAUUCCAGAGCUCGAGAUAGGUUUUGCAAACAUUAUUGUGGUGGACAAUCUGCCGGUUGUUCCCCGAGAGAAGUACGAGAAGCUGGAGAAUGUUUUGCGAAAGAUAUAUGGUCAGCUUGGCGUGAAAGGAAGGUGGGCUUUGGAUGCCUACGGACCCAGAGACCAAGAAGACCCAGGGCUACUGCUUCAUUGAGUUCAAUACUCCGCAGGAAGCUGAGUUUGCUAUGGAAAAAACACGUGGCUACAAACUGGACAAAUCUCACAUAUUUGCUGUUAAUAUGUUUGAUGACUUUGAGAAGUACAUGAAAGUUCCUGAUGAGUGGGCGCCUGCUGAAAUCAAGUCAUACACUCCUGGAGAAAAUCUUCUGAAGUUGCUGACUGAUGAUAAGGCCAGAGAUCAGUUCGUGAUACGUGCUGGUACGUUCACGGAAGUGUACUGGAAUGACGCUAGACGGGCAAUGCCUGAGCUUGUGUACCAGAAGCAGUACUGGACGGAUAGCUAUAUUCAAUGGUCCCCUCUUGGAACACACUUGGCGACCGUGCAUAGGCAGGGCGCGCAGGUGUGGGGUGGUGAUGACAAAUUUGUUCGUCUAAUGCGCUUUGCUCAUCCACAGUUGAAACUCAUCGAUUUCUCUCCCGGUGAGAAAUAUUUGAUCACUUACAGCAGCCAUGAGCCCAGCAACCCCAGAGAUACACAUAGGGUUGUACUAAAUAUCUUUGAUGUACGAACUGGAAAAGUAAUGUGGGAGUUCAAGGGAAGUGCUGAUGAUUUCACUACUGGUGGAAAUAUGGGUGUCUCUGGUGUUUCAUGGCCUAUCUUCAGGUGGGGUGGUGGAAGAGAUGAUAAGUAUUUUGCUAGGCUUGGAAAGAAUGUUAUAUCUGUCUAUGAUACCGAGACGUUCGCUCUUAUUGAUAAGAAGUCCUUGAAGGUAGAAAAUGUGGUUGACUUCAGUUGGUCUCCCACUGAUCCUAUCAUAUCACUCUUUGUGCCUGAAUUGGGUGGUGGAAAUCAGCCUGCCAGGGUCAGUCUUGUGCCAAUUCCGGGUAAAGAGGAGAUUCGGCAGAAAAACCUUUUCAGUGUUAGCGACUGCAAAAUGUACUGGCAAAACAAUGGAGAAUAUCUGGCUCUCCAGGUAGAUAGGUACACAAAAACAAAGAAGAGCAUUUACACUGGGUUCGAGCUGUUCAGAAUCAAGGAAUGAGACAUCCCAAUUGAGGUCUUUGAAUUGGACAACAAGAAUGACAAGAUAAUUGCCUUUGCAUGGGAGCCUAAAGGUCGCCGCUUUGCUGUUAUUCAUGGUGAUGGGCCUAAGCCUGAUAUAAGUUUCUACAUCAUGAAAGCAGUCAACAAUAAUGUUAGUCGUGUGUCCAAGCUCACCACACUCAAGGGCAAGCAGUCCAAUGCAUUGUUCUGGUCUCCUGCUGGCCGUUUCAUUGUUCUGGCAGGGCUGAUGGGUUUCAAUGGCCAGCUGGAGUUCUUCAACGUUGAUGAUCUUGAGCCCAUGGCGACAGGAGAACAUUUUAUGGCGACUGACAUCAUGUGGGAUCCUACUGGAAGAUAUCUCGCAACUGCAGUUACCUCGGUUCAUGAGAUGGAAAAUGGUUUCCAAAUCUGGUCCUUCAAUGGCAAGCAAAUUUACAACGUCUCAAAGGAUCACUUCUAUCAGUUCCAAUGGCGCCCAAGGCCACCGUCGCUACUUACUCCCGAGAAGGAGGAGGACAUCUCAAAGAACCUCAAGCGGUACAGCAAGAAGUACGAACACGAGGAUCAGGACGUGCACCACCUUUUGGACGAGGAGGAGCGCAAGAGACGGAUGCGGCUUCAAGAGGUGUGGGAAGCAUGGGUCGCCAAGUGGAAGCAGCUGCACGAGGAGGAGCGAGCAUUCAGGAUGCAGCUCAGAGGCGCGGAGGACAGCGACAAGGAAGAAGAGGCUGAAUACAAGGAGAUUGAGGCGGAGGAGCUGGUUGAUGUCACAGAAAAAACCGUUGCCUUUGACCUGGAUCAGGAGUGAAAGCUGCUGAGUGUUCGUUUCCUGCCUGUCGUGUGAAUUGCUGUCGUUUUGCCUUAGACCAAGCUCGUAGUUUGUUAAUCUUUCUAGUAGUGCACUUAUAAUAAAUUCAUCGAUUUUUGUGGGCUA